GUGUGCUAAUUUGGCAGAGCGCCAUAGGUUUUCAUCAGCAGCUGUUCCCACCCCACCAGCUCACCUGAUGCUCUUUGGAGGGAUCCCGAUCCUGAUCCGCGUGGGGGGUCAGGCUCGCUGGUGCAGCCCUCCACGUCUCUCCCCUCCAUCCCUCCUCCCAGAGCUCCUGCCUUGUCUUCACCUCCAUUCUCUCCACUGCUGGGACAGCGCACAGGGACUAUCAGCCUAGAGACACUCCCCUUGGGUACACUCCAGGGUACAGGAUUUAUACCCGAUGAAUUACCAGACGAAAGCGCCUUUGUUUUCGAGAAGGCCCCGGGACAUCCACGGGCUGAAGUAGAGCCCAAUUCCCGACAGCAAGGCGCGGGAGAGGCGGCGGUAAGACUCGGGGCGCACAGAGCACGAGCUCCCCUCACCCCUGGUGCCAGCAUGGUGUGCGAACUCUUCCUGUUAUCGUCCGUCUGGUUCCUCUUCGUGAUCUUCUGGAUGGAGACCAUCAGCGUCUGGCUGUUCCUCUGCAAUUUUUACCAGGAUAGGGCCUUCUAUCACGUGGGUGUGGGGGUGUUUGCAGAUGACCCCGGGCACAUGCUGUACGUGCUGGGCAGGGUGGAGGGAUCGGGACAAACGCCAACAUGAAGAGAAGGAGAGAAAGGAGGACGAGGGAGCGCGCGUCUGCUUUGUACAUAAACCGAACCCCUCCUGCUGCCUGCAUCACACCGCCCAGCCUGCCCCGUGACUGGGGGCUUCACCCUUGUCGAAGGAGUUGGGAGAUGCUGUUAUAGAGGGGCGAAUUUGAUGGAAAUUGUCAACUAGUUGGGGAUGUUGUGUGAGCCAUAGCAUCAGCAGUAUCCAUGUCUGGCCAUCUCUCUCUCUGUUCCACCACUGGUCUUGCAGGUGUUGUUCCAGCUGUUCGGUUUUGCCCUUUGGUGGGGAGGGGUGGGUGCCCUUAACAACCCUUCUUGUCUUUUGUGUUUGGAUGAGAUGCAUGCAAGAUCGAUUCAUCUCUGGUUUGGCAAGCUGUUGGCUCCACCGGUACUUCUUAGGCACGUUACUGACUUUUUUAAUGAACUUGAUUGAAAAAUAUGAAAUGAACUUGUGCCUCAGUAGGACAAUGUGGUGAAGAACCUGCAGCCUGUUUCAUCCUAAAUGAAUUGUUCUGCUUGCCGAGAGUCUGGUUUUCCUGACAUUUAUAGUUAAUGCACAUCUUGCAUCUCUCCUACAAAUGUUUUCAGUCAAAACUUUCCUGCCACAAUCCUUUAAACACGUGGGAGAAUUUGUUUAUGCCUUGAAAGCUUUCCCGUGUUGUUUGGCAGUAGAUGAAGAUAAACCGAACAGUGCAAAAAAAUAUAUAUACUUUAAGUUUUCUUAGAAUCUAGUCUUUAUUCUCCAUGUCAAAGGGUUUAGACUGAUGCUCCAACGUUGAUUUGAGUUAUGAGACCAGAACAGUGUUGUUACUGAGCCUGUUUUCAUAGGGCUCCCUGACCCGAGGAAGUGGGGCUUCAUUCAUUAAUAGGCAUCUCUUAAAGGGUCUUCUUUCUCCCUGUGUUUUUAUGUGGGAUCUGUGCUUUUUGACUAAAAAUCGAAAUGGCCGAGCUCCUGACCUUAUCCAUAUUGUAAAACUGAUGUAUUUGGAAGAGGAGCAUUUUGGACAAUUUACAGUUACGGUUUUCCCAUAAACAUUUUAGAUGAGAAAUUUAAGACCCAGAUUGGUAUCCUUAAGAUGGUGAGACGUAUGUACCAGGGGUCUCCAACUCUGGGCUUGGAAAGCCCUGGCUCACAGAUUUUAUAUGGAACCUCUAAGGUGUCUAUUUCUGAUGAUUUGGGACACUUUUAACUGUGAUCAUUAAAAGGAUGCUUUGUUAGAUUACCUAAUUUGGAGGUAGUUUUGGGACAAUUUGCAACACCCUGUGAAAUUAGAGUUCAAAAACUGGUGGCCUAUAAUGUUUGAUUGGGGAUCCAGACCAAGAGCUGGAAACAUGCUAUACAGUGUGUCUCUCCAUAAACAUCUGUCUUCUCUGUGAUGCCUUCCUCAUGUCUUUUUGCUUUGAACUGCUUUGUAUCACUAUUAAAUUGUUUAACUGCAUAACUUGCUCUCCGUCAAGUCAGAAGGUGGAGUACCGAAGUUGGAGCGCUCUAGUUAGGAGGAUUGACGUAUUCCAGUUGUUUUCUGAUUUUUUUUUUCUUUAUACUCGAGCAACAUUUUGACUCAUUCGCGGUGACUGACGGCUUGUGUGCAGGCGCUGACACGUCCACCCCAGUCCUUGGGUAAGCAGCAGCGGCCUCUGAGACGCACGCUGAGCUCUGACAGAGAAGCUGUGCUGGUUGCUUUGCAGAGAGUGGAGCUCCUCGAUCUUGGCAGGGGUGCACAUUGAGCCUGGAAGUGGGUUUUUCCUUUUUGAAGUGUGGAUGAAGUACGGGUGAACGUGCUCUUUUACAGUGAAUUUGAAGUAGGUGUUUAGAAUUUUGGAAUGCCAUUUUUUUUUGUUCCCGUCACAUCUAUGUUUCCAUCUCAUUGAAGAUAAAAAGACUUGGCGGUUGUGAAUAAAGGUGGAGGGAUUUUUGUCAUGGUUGGUGCUGCUGUAUGUGAGGUGGUCAGGCAGGGUCUUGCUGUGGCAACACAUACGGCGUCAGGUUUUGCUUCCUUCUGGGAUUGCUGGACAGAUUCCAGUGUGUCUCUGCAGGUUUUCACCUCUGCUUGUAAUAACCCAGCCGAGCUGGUCGUUGGCAAAACUGGACCAGUUGAACGCUUUUCAAAGGUUUUGCAGCAGUUGAUGAUUUAAAGAGACCUAGAAAACCAUUGGAUGCUAGCUGUCACGGACUGGAGUUGUGCUCCAAAGGAAUAGAACAGGGUAGUCUGCUCCUGGACCCGGCUACUGUCAUUCCCAUGUUUUCAAUCUAGUUUUCAGUCUUCUGCUGGCUACUGGCUCAUUUGGUCCAAUUCCCCAGCAUCUCUCUGCUUUUCAGGUGCUGCUAGUGUGAACAAAAUCUGCAGAUAGAGCGCCCCCUAUAGGACCAAGGCUGGCCAGGCCUGCCCUAGUGCAACCAAAUGAGAUGUCCUACUUGGCCACCAGGUGGAGACAAGGCAGUAGACUGGAGAACUCAAUGGCGUGCUUGAAAAGUAAUCUGUUUCAAGGGCUUUGUGAUAAAGUGCUAUAUGAAUGCAAGGAAUUAUAAGGUUGUUUGCUCUAAAUUGUUUUGAGGCUUUAAACUUGAUGAGCUGUAUAGUUACAGUUCAUUUCGCUAAAAUGCGUGGGACUGUGUAGUUAUAAAUAUUUUUUUAGUACGGACAGAUUCCUGAAGGUAUCAUGUAAAAUAAAGACUGCAGAAUUAAAUUUUAAAUGCAACUUGGGUAUAAUCAAAAAAAUAAGACCAAGUUGAAGUAUUACAUUACCUUGCCAAUUUUAACUAGUACUUUUGCAAGUUCAUGAUCGAACACUAGAGGGCAGAGCAGAUCUCAAGACCUGGGUUAGGGACAGUCACUGGUGCUUAUUUUAUGUUCUUGGGUAACUGAAUGUUUUGUUACUUAAUCCGUUUCAAUUCCACUUUUAAAUGUUAUGGAUGAUUUAAUGAAACGACAGAGGUUGCAAAACAACCCAUGUGCCCUGUAAUCUUAUUUUUGACUGUUCUGUAUUUACUAUUGUUUCAACUGGUGAGCAUUUUACCCUCUUCAAAAAUAAAGUAUAGUUGUACUGUAAAAUGAAUUGAUUGUGUACAACAUCAAUAUGAAUUAUUAAUAUUGCAGGUUGUCAGGGUGCUGAACUGGAAUAGCAGGCUUUUGGACUGUAGACCAAUUUGUUACUGAAUACUCCAAGGAAUUAUUCAAAUUCAAUUGAAAUGCUUUAUUUUGUAUAGUACAAUUUUUCCUGUUGGUGACCUAACAAUUCUUUUUAAUAAUUUGGCUAAAUCUUUAAAAGCAAAUACUGCAUUAAGUGGACUUUUGGUAGUACAGUAUUUUGCCCUGUAUGAUUUAAGUAUUUUAACUGUUAUAGUUCAGGUGGGCAGGUGCGUUGGGACGGGUUGUUCGGCGGGGGACCAGGGAUUGGUUUUUUUCG
ensembl:lincRNA